CCUACGGGUGGCAGCAGUGGGGAAUAUUGGACAAUGGGCGAAAGCCUGAUCCAGCCAUGCCGCGUGUGUGAAGAAGGCCUUCGGGUUGUAAAGCACUUUCAGUGGGGAAGAAAGCCUUGGGGCUAAUACCCUCGAGGAAGGACAUCACCCACAGAAGAAGCACCGGCUAACUCCGUGCCAGCAGCCGCGGUAAUACGGAGGGUGCGAGCGUUAAUCGGAAUUACUGGGCGUAAAGCGCGCGUAGGCGGUCUGAUAAGCCGGUUGUGAAAGCCCCGGGCUCAACCUGGGAACGGCAUCCGGAACUGUCAGGCUAGAGUGCAGGAGAGGAAGGUAGAAUUCCCUGUGUAGCGGUGAAAUGCGUAGAGAUCGGGAGGAAUACCAGUGGCGAAGGCGGUCUUCUGGACUGACACUGACGCUGAGGUGCGAAAGCGUGGGUAGCAAACAGGAUUAGAUACCCUAGUAGUC
rnacentral:rRNA from 1 species